rnacentral:rRNA from 1 species
UGGGGAAUUUUGGACAAUGGGCGCAAGCCUGAUCCAGCCAUGCCGCGUGCAGGAUGAAGGCCUUCGGGUUGUAAACUGCUUUUGUCAGGGAAGAAACGAGUUUCUCUAAUACAGAGACUUAAUGACGGUACCUGAAGAAUAAGCACCGGCUAACUACGUGCCAGCAGCCGCGGUAAUACGUAGGGUGCGAGCGUUAAUCGGAAUUACUGGGCGUAAAGCGUGCGCAGGCGGUUAUAUAAGACAGAUGUGAAAUCCCCGGGCUCAACCUGGGACCUGCAUUUGUGACUGUAUAGCUAGAGUACGGUAGAGGGGGAUGGAAUUCCGCGUGUAGCAGUGAAAUGCGUAGAUAUGCGGAGGAACACCGAUGGCGAAGGCAAUCCCCUGGGCCUGUACUGACGCUCAUGCACGAAAGCGUGGGGAGCAAACA